GCCUGGGUGGCUCAGUCGGUUAAGCGUCCGACUUCAGCUCAGGUCAUGAUCUCAUGGUUCGUGGGUUCGAGCCCCGCGUCGGGCU
rnacentral:tRNA from 1 species